GACGAACGCUGGCGGCGUGCUUAACACAUGCAAGUCGAACGGAAAGGCCCUGCUUUUGUGGGGUGCUCGAGUGGCGAACGGGUGAGUAACACGUGAGUAACCUGUACUUGACUGUGGGAUAUCUUCAGGAAACUGGGGCUAUUACCGGAUAGGAGCUCCUGCUGCAUGGUGGGGGUUGGUAAGUUUCGGCGGUUGGGGAUGGACUGGCGGCUUAUCAGCUUGUUGGUGGGGUAGUGGCUUACCAAGGCUAUGAGGGGUAGCCCGCCUGGGAGGGUAACCGGCCACAUGGGGCCUGAGAUACGGCCCAGACUCGUACGGGAGGCAGCGGUGGAGAGUAUUACACAAUGGGCGGGAGCCAGAUGUGACAACGCCGCGUGCGGGAAGCCGUGCUUCGGGUUGUGAACCACUUUCGCCUGAGACGAGGCGUGAGUGACGGUACUGGGUAAAGAAGCACCGGCUAACUACGUG
rnacentral:rRNA from 1 species